UUAACCUGAAAACAUGAGCUCAAAGGUGAGUAACAGGACCACUAGGACAAGCCUAGGGUCAAAAGAGAAUGAGAAAGUCAAAACAGCAAAUGACAAGUGUCCAAAAUCAUGUUCAAACAUUCAAGAAACAAAACCAAUUGGGUUCACAUUCAUAUCAAUCAUCAUCAUCAUUUCAUGAGCAAAUUAGGUCAAAACAUGGCAUUUAGAAGCUCAUAGAAGUCAACAGCAAGACUUAACUCAAAAGCAAUCUUAAACAUUUCCAAAAAUCACCAAAUAAAU
rnacentral:lncRNA from 1 species